rnacentral:rRNA from 1 species
GAUGAACGCUAGCGGCAGGCUUAACACAUGCAAGUCGAGGGGCAGCAUAAUGGAUAGCAAUAUCUAUCGUGGCGACCGGCGCACGGGUGCGUAACGCGUAUGCAACCUACCUUUAACAGGGGGAUAACACUGAGAAAUUGGUACUAAUACCCCAUAAUAUCAUAGAAGGCAUCUUUUAUGGUUGAAAAUUCCGAUGGUUAGAGAUGGGCAUGCGUUGUAUUAGCUAGUUGGUGGGGUAACGGCUCACCAAGGCGACGAUACAUAGGGGGACUGAGAGGUUAACCCCCCACACUGGUACUGAGACACGGACCAGACUCCUACGGGAGGCAGCAGUGAGGAAUAUUGGUCAAUGGACGCAAGUCUGAACCAGCCAUGCCGCGUGCAGGAUGACGGCUCUAUGAGUUGUAAACUGCUUUUGUACGAGGGUAAACGCAGAUACGUGUAUCUGUCUGAAAGUAUCGUACGAAUAAGGAUCGGCUAACUCCGUG